GACAGGGCACUAAUGGCAUCUGCUGGGUACAGGCUAGGGACAUUGCUAACCUUCUACAAGCACAGAAUAGUUCAGAAGAUUUCCCUGUAACAGUGUUUGAAGAUGAUAGUCACCCCUGAGGGAGCAGUGGCUGGAGGAGGACCUAGGAGAGUUCCUGGAUGCCAACCCAAUGAUUUUGAAAUGGAAACCACCGGGUCCAAGCGUAGCUUUGCGAAGAUUGUGAGAUACAGAGCCACCUCCGGGUGCCUCCUUAUUGUUCCCCUUAGCCUCUCAGACUGUCUUGCUAGGACCUGCCUUCAAAUGUCC
rnacentral:lncRNA from 1 species